rnacentral:rRNA from 1 species
AUUGACCGCUGGCGGCAGGCCUAACACAUGCAAGUCGAACGAGUGGUGGACGGGUGAGUAAUUUCUGGGACACUGCCUGCUGGAGGGGGAUAACUACUGGAAACGUUAGCUAAUACCGCAUACCCUAGGAUGUGCCCAGAUGGGAUUCGCUAGUAGGUGGGGUAACGGCUCACCUAGGCGACGAUCCCUAGCUGGUCUGAGAGGAUGACCAGCCACACGGGAACUGAGACACGGUCCAGACUCCUACGGGAGGCAGCAGUGGGGAAUAGUGCACAAUGGGCGCAAGCCGGAUGCAGCCAUGCCGCGUGUAUGAAGAAGGCCUUCGGGUUGUAAAGUACUUUCAGCGGGGAGGCGUUACCCGCAGAAGAAGCACCGGCUAACUCCGUGCCAGCAGCCGCGGUAAUAC